AUCUCUCAAUGCCAUGGUCCCUGCCUCUCAGGGGACCACACAGCCUGGCCAGCUAUUCUGGGGCUGGAGUCAGGAAGCUUCCUCCUCUCCCACUUGUUAUGUCCAAUUAGGCAGAGACUUCAGGCUUUAACUUUUAAAUAUUUAGUGAGAAAUCUCAGAGUUCACCACCCCCUAAAUAAACAUUCUUUUUCUUUCUUUUUACUUUCUCUCUCUCUCUUUUUUUUUNUUUUUUUUUUUUUUUUUUUUUUUGCUUUUUAGCCUGGGAAUCUCCAUAUGCCAUGGGUGCGGCCCUAAAAAGACAAAAGACAAAAAAAAAAAAAAAAAAAAAAAAAAAAAAAGAAAAGAAACAGUUCAGUUCCUUCACAUAAAACUCCUUUCUCAACAUCACCCUGCUGUUAUCUUGCUUGUCAGGGAUGGAAGGUCACUCAGGAAAGCAGCCUUUUGUGUGUUAAUUGUACAUACCAUGGGCUAUGUACAUACCAUGGGGUACACCACAGCCACAGCAACACUGGAUCCUUGACCCACUGAGCAAGGCCAGGGAUUGAACCCGCCACCUCAUGGAUACUAGUCGGGUUUAUAAACUGCUGAGCCACAACAGGAACUCCUACUUUUCUAUCAUUUAGAAGCAUUUUCAUGAUAGAGAUUUUUACAUUUCCUAAUGGAUAUACUGUUAGCCAUACAGAUGCAGUCACAUAUAAUAUUUCAGGAAAGAAAGCAAAUUUUAGGUGGAUAAAGUUUAUACCUAAGAUAGUAUCUAACCCAAUUCUUUCAUUUUUUGGAUAAGGAAAACACAGUGUCCCUUCAGUUUUGAAAUAAACUCUUUCAGUUUAGUGAUUCCAAAAUAAAGUUCCAUUCGACCUUGAACAGUACUUAGCACAGAGGAUGCACCUUACAAAUAUCUGCAAAAUGAAUUACUGCUGCUGGAAGAUGUUUAAAUGAUUUCUCUCAAAAGACUGCCAGUCAGCAACAGAGAUAAUAUAUGAAGAGCUCAGUAGAAUCCCCAUUGCAUGGUUAGUGUGUAUGUGUAUGUAAUAGAAAAUCCCGUCUAAGCAAAACGGUGAUCAUCUGUUCUGCAUUCCAACAGUACUGAAUUGAGGCAAACGAACAUGGGUUGAAGUUAGGAUCUCAGGGUUGGUCAUCCUUUUAUCAUCUAUAUUAUUCAUCCUAAUGAUAACGUGCACCUGAAAUUGGUGACUUUACAGAGAAACAGAGCCACAUGGUUCAAGGUUUUGAGCCAGCGUUCCUGAGAGAUUCGAUGGAUCCUUCAACCACUUUUUUGAAUCGUUCAGACAGGUCCAUGGCAUUUCUGUGAUCAACAUGACAGUUCCUCAGGAUGGGAGGCAAAUAUGCCAAUUUCAUAGUUACAAAAUCUGUAAACGAGGGCAAUAAAAUAAAAAUGGAUGGAUCGGUGUGAUAGCAUCUAAGCCAACUAAUCAAUAUUAGUAAUACUAACAGGAGGAUCACUUUGAUGUUAUUCAAAGAAGACACAAAGAUCCAAAAAGAGGAGUUCCCUUUCUGUCGCAGCGGUUAACAAACGUGACUAGGACCCCCGAGGAUUCAGGUUCAAUCCCUGGCCUUACUCAGUGGGUUAAAGAUCUGGCGUCGCCGUGAGCUGUGGCAUAGGUCGCAGACACGGCUCAGAUCCCGAGUUGCUGUGGCUGAGGCUGUGGGCCAGGGGCUGUAGCUCGGGUUCUGCCCCUACCUGGGAACUUCCAUAUGCCACAGGUGCAGCCCCUAAAAAGCAAAAAAAAAAAAAAAAAAAAAAAAGAUCCAAAAAGAGUCACCUCAGGAAAUAUUCUUGCCAGAGUAAUAUUGUACCUCAAUUGAAUCAAUCACCUAGAUCCACUUAUUGUUUAUAGGAAAUGCAGGGGAAAGAGGGACAAUUCAAUGAUACCACAAAGAAGUAAUCAGCCAGAUCUAAAUGUGGCAAAUCCUGAGGAAAACUGACCUGGUUACCCCAAUAAAUUAAUCAUGUUUAAGUUAAAAACAAACACACAAAAAAACUUCUUCAUCUGAGAGAGAAUGGCUAUGUGUUUAUGCUUGACCAGGUCACUUUGUUGUACAGCAGAAAUGAUCACAACCUUGUCAAUCAACUAUCCUUCAAUAAAACU
rnacentral:lncRNA from 1 species